AUUGAACGCUGGCGGCAGGCCUAACACAUGCAAGUCGAGCGGAGCGGCGGACGGGGGAGUAAUGCCUAUGAAUCUGCCUGGUAGUGGGGGCUAACGUCCGGUAACGGGCGCUAAUACCGCAUCCUAUCAGAUGAGCAUAGGUCGGAUUAGCUUGUUGUUGGGGUAAAGGCCUACCAAGGCGACGAUCCGUAACUGGUCUGAGUGGAUGAUCAGUCACACGGGAACGGAGACACGGUCCAGACUCGUACGGGAGGCAGCAGUGGGGAAUAUUGGACAAGGGGCGAAAGCCUGAUCCAGCCAUGCCGCGUGUGUGAAGAAGGUCUUCGGAUUGUAAAGCACUUUAAGUUGGGAGGCGUUACCAACAGAAUAAGCACCGGCUAACUCCGUGCCAGCAGCCGCGGUAAUUC
rnacentral:rRNA from 1 species